AUGAUAAGCACAUUAAACUACAACUACAAGAAGUUUCUCAUUCCUUCCCAUAUCAUUCUUCAAUCAUCCAUUUUCUCCCUGGAUCAUUCCUUUUCAAACAUCCAUUUCCCGGUGUUUCUUUCUAGAUCAUUCUUCAAUCAUCCAUUUUUUCAACCUUCAACAACAUCCAACUUCAAACAAACACAACAUAUAGUUAUUAAAAUAUAG